UUCCAAAAUGAAGGGAGGUUUUUUCUUGUGUUCCAAAUUAGUGUAUAAAAUAAAAUAAAAAUAAAUAAAUAAAUAUUGUAAGAGAGAGUGAGAGAGUGUGAGAGAGAAAAACAAAAAAAAAAAGUAGAGCCCACAGGGCCCCCCAAACCCGGAGAGCCCUUGUAUAGGCUCCCAAUUCAUGUAUUUACUAGUAUAGAAUCCGCGCUUCGCGGCGGGUAGAUAAUAUUUCAGUAAAUUAAUAUAUAUAGUUUUUAAAAUUUUAAAAUUAAAAAAUUAUAGUGAAAAAUAUAAAACAAACUUAUAUAUCCUUUAUAUAUUAUAAAAGCUAUUUUUUUAUUAAUAUUUUUAGCUUUCAUAUUUGUAAAGUUAAAUUUAAAGUAUUCUAAUAACUUUAUUUAUUUUAAAAUUAAAAAAAUUUAUAAUGCAAAAUAUAAAACAAAUUUAUAUAUCCUUUACAUAUUAUAAAAACUAUUUUUUUAUUAAUAUUUUAACUUUCAGUAUUUGUAGAGUUAAAGUAUUUUAAUAACUUUAUUUAAAAAUUCUGUCACACCCCGGGGCCCAACGAAAGCCCGUCCGGCGUAUGCACAGACCCGCCGUGUACACCAAACAACCAUAAU
rnacentral:lncRNA from 1 species